AAAAAGAUGGCAGAUUGGGUAUGUAGUUGGCUUGAAACCAGCCUAUGUGGGUUCGAUUCCUACUCUUUUUG
rnacentral:tRNA from 1 species